rnacentral:lncRNA from 1 species
UCAAGGUCACAUGAAAUCUGCCCGCUAGACAUGUACACCUUACAAUCAUUCCAUACAACAAAUAUAGUAGACCUAUUGCAUAUAGUAUGAAAAAAAACAGACCAAAACACAAAAAUUUAACUAUAACCACUGAACCAUGAAAAUGAGGUCAAGGUCACAUGACAUCUGCCCGCUAGACAUGUACACCUUACAAUCAUUCCAUACAACAAAUACAGUAGACCUAUUGCAUAUAGUAUGAAAAAACAGACCAAAACACAAAAAUUUAACUAUAACCACUGAACCAUGAAAAUGAGGUCAAGGUCAGAUGACACCUGCCAGUUGGACAUGUACACCUUACAGUCCUUCCAUACACCGAAUAUACAAGCCCUAUUGCUUAUAGUAUCUGAGAUACGGAC